UACAGAGGUCUCAAGCGUUGUUCGGAUUCAUUGGGCGUAAAGGGCGCGUAGGCGGUUCGUACAGUCAGACGUGAAAUUCCCGGGCUCAACCUGGGGGCUGCGUUUGAUACGUGCGGGCUUGAGUUCGGAAGAGGGUCGUGGAAUUCCCAGUGUAGAGGUGAAAUUCGUAGAUAUUGGGAAGAACACCGGUGGCGAAGGCGGCGACCUGGUCCGAUACUGACGCUGAGGCGCGAAAGCGUGGGGAGCAAACAGG
rnacentral:rRNA from 1 species